rnacentral:rRNA from 1 species
UACGUAGGGGGCUAGCGUUGUCCGGAAUCAUUGGGCGUAAAGCGCGUGUAGGCGGUCCGGUAAGUCCGCUGUGAAAGUCGGGGGCUCAACCCUCGGAUGCCGGUGGAUACUGUCGGGCUUGAGUACGGAAGAGGCGAGUGGAAUUCCUGGUGUAGCGGUGAAAUGCGGCAGAUAUCAAGGAGGAACACCAAUUGCGAAGGCAGCUCGCUGGGACGUUACUGACGCUGGAGACGCGAAAGCGUGGGAGCAAACAGG